rnacentral:lncRNA from 1 species
AACUGUUGAGGGUGGACAUGAAAGUCAUUGGUUCUCAACUCAUCAGACCUCCCACCCCCCAGCCCGUACUUGAAUUACACACCCACACCCUGUAUCAUAUGACUCUGUAUUAUCCCCCACUGCUGUGCCUGGAGGACGUGUCCUCACUGCAAUAAUUUUGGGUUUUCCCACGUAAUUGGCUUUGGCCAACAGAAUACAGGUGGAAGGAACUGUGUGCCAGUUCACUCACCCCUUUCAUGCUUGUGCCAUUUGACCCAAGAAGAACACACCUUGCAGAGCUGCUGAACCCAGGAGAAAGAGACAAAUCCCCGGGAGCAAAGCCGAAUGGAAGGGCCACCCUGGGGCCAGGCUGACCUGCAGCCUGAGGUACUAAACGCAAUGAUUUUCUGGAAUCUCAGGGAGGCUUUGCCAACACAACAUCCUCUGGCAGAAGUGUCAGCCCCUCAUCUUCCGUUGAAAAGGGUCUAAGUGUCAAUGGGUCUGCUCAUCUAGGGUAAGUAAGGGUCCAGUGAAGAGCUAUAAACAUCGGGGAGCGAACAGUCUGAAAGACAGCAUGACAUGCUUGAGUGUGGCUUUUGGAACCAGAGUGGGUUCAAAUCUUACUGUCACUUGGUAUUGGUGUGGCCUUAGACAAAUUACUUCAUCUCCCUGAGUCUCAGCUUUUUUUUUUUUUUUGUGCAAAAUGGGGAUAAUACAUCAUGGGAUUAUUGGGAAGAUUCAUUGAGUUAAUUUAUGUAAAGUGAUUAGAAGAGUCCCUGGCAUACAAUAAAGACUGUACAAGGACUUGCUGUUACGAAGUU